rnacentral:lncRNA from 1 species
CUGGCUCAGGCCCAGUGCCCAGGGAGUCCUGAAGAGAUGAGGGGUCCAUUUGUCCCUGAUGCUUUUCUCUCCACAUCUCAGAAAUGUUAGGACUACAAAAUCUGGCGUGGUUGAAGACACCUCAGAGUAAGCGAGGGAGAUGGAGGCCUCUCGCUUGAAGGAGAUUUGGGGAGGCGCAGACCCUGGUGGCACCAGCAAAUGGAAGCCAACUAAGGCAAAUCGUACUAGUCUAUGCAGGCUGUGAACUCAGGGAAUUAACUGGAGGACAAUGAAGGGCAAACCCAAUGGAAUCAAAGGGACGUCAAAAUCCAAAAUCCAAGGACUCUCUCAAAGGACGUUCAGUCUGGAGUAUCCAGAAGCUUCGAUCAAAGGCCAAAGCGAGGCACGUAACCUUUCUCACUGCCAGUUUAAAGAAACGAGCAGAAGGCUACAGCAUUGCUCAAGAACCCAGCUUUUCUUUGGGGGCCAAAAACACAAUCCGUGCCAGGAAUUGCCUGGGAUGUGCUGGAGACACAGGGAUCCUCCUUCUGCUCUGUAAGAUUAGCACAAGGUUAGCUAGAGAGAUAGAAAGGAGGUUGGUAAAGAGUAAAAACAAAAAAAAAAGUGAAAAACCUGAGCUUUGACCACUUGCACAUGAACAGCCAGAAUGCUGUCUGCAAUUGGUGUUAAAUGAUUGAACAGAAGGAAGCAAUUGUUCCUGCACCAACGAGUGCGUGAUCCUGAGCAAAGGAUCAAAGACAAUGCAGGACUGGUGUGAUGGGAAAGGAAAAAAAUCCACCCGAGAGAGAGAGAGAUUUCCCUGAGACUCUCCAAUGGCUUUCACAGUUUGUCAGUGAGGAAGGCUGGAGACCUUGCUGAAUAAAUAUUCUGUAUGUAUU